rnacentral:lncRNA from 1 species
AACAACUACCUCUCUCUCUCUCUCCCUCCUUCCUCUUUAAAUCCCUAACGCGCUUCCGAAACGCCGAAGCCCAAAGAGAGUCGGAUUGAGAAAAAAGAGGGUGUUUUAUUUUUUGUCUGGUGGCGACGCCAGCUUGCCGACAUGGAAAGGAAACGCACGGCUCCCACCCCGCGCCUUCGUAUCCGCGAAGAAGGCGCACAGUCUCACCUGGACGAAACCUAGAAUGUCUUUUAUACGAGUGGUCGAUCUGCCGUUUGAUCUUUGGGGUGCAUGGAAGAUCUGGUAUCUCGCAUGCAAUUUCUAUGAGGGCAUUUGUAUGGAAUGAGUAAUCGACGUGCCACUUGAGCUGCCUACGUGAACUUGAUGACGGGGUUACCCAUUCACGAAGGCGAACUGGAUGACGG